rnacentral:rRNA from 1 species
UACGUAGGGUGCAAGCGUUAAUCGGAAUUACUGGGCGUAAAGCGUGCGCAGGCGGUGAUGUAAGACAGUUGUGAAAUCCCCGGGCUCAACCUGGGAACUGCAUCUGUGACUGCAUCGCUGGAGUGCGGCAGAGGGGGAUGGAAUUCCGCGUGUAGCAGUGAAAUGCGUAGAUAUCAGGAGGAAUACCGAUGGCGAAGGCAGGUCUCUGGGCUGACACUGACGCUCAUGCACGAAAGCGUGGGGAGCAAACAGG